rnacentral:rRNA from 1 species
UGGGGAAUAUUGGACAAUGGGUGAGAGCCUGAUCCAGCCAUGCCGCGUGCAGGAAGAAGGCGUUAUGCGUUGUAAACUGCUUUUUGCCAGGGGAUAAAAAGACCGUGCGCGGUUAAUUGAAGGUACCUGGUGAAUAAGCCACGGCUAACUACGUGCCAGCAGCCGCGGUAAUACGUAGGUGGCAAGCGUUGUCCGGAUUUAUUGGGUUUAAAGGGUGCGUAGGUGGCCCUGUAAGUCAGUGGUGAAAUAUCUCAGCUUAACUGAGAGGGUGCCAUUGAUACUGCAGGGCUUGAGUACAGAUGAGGUAGGCGGAAUUGACGGUGUAGCGGUGAAAUGCAUAGAUAUCGUCAAGAACACCGAUAGCGAAGGCAGCUUACCAA